GCGGAGGGCGGGGCCGGCGCGUUGAGGCAGGAGUGAGCGCAGCUUCGGCGGUCAACGCGCUUUAUUCCGAGGGGCUUCAGAUACAGAUGACCCCAGCCCUGCAUCCGCCCGGAAGGCGUCCCCUUACUCCCAUGGGGCACCUCGAUACCAGCUGCCCUGCCCUGACUCACUUCUCAGCACCCAUCUUACGGCAGUCGGCCCUGGCCUCAGACCCUUGGGUUCAGAUCCCAGGCCCUCCUCCUACUCACUGAAAAGAGAUGUCCAGGGCACAGCUUGGGGCCCCAGAAAGUAACCACGGAGGUCAAGAUCACAAACCCGUCAGUGUCCAGGGCAUGGCCUCGCACACAUCCGAGGUUUUCAAGGACCAUGAAGUGCCAUGGCAAGCAUCCUGGCCUGAGGGUUAGGAGAGCUGGAUCUCAGGCUCAACUUUAGCCUGAAUUCGGUGCGUCAUCUUAGACAAAUCUGCUCAAGUCCUGUUCCUUGUUUAACCAGCAUUUAUUAAGUACUUGCAGUAUACCAGCCACUAUUUUGGACAUUAGUGAUAUGGAGUGUAAUAAAGACUUAAUAAAGGCUAAUUGUGAUC
rnacentral:lncRNA from 10 species